UGUGGCUGGGGGUGAAAGGCCAAUCAAACCGGGAGAUAGCUGGUUCUCCCCGAAAGCUAUUUAGGUAGCGCCUCGUGAACUCAUCUUCGGGGGUAGAGCACUGUUUCGGCUAGGGGGUCAUCCCGACUUACCAACCCGAUGCAAACUACGAAUACCGAAGAAUGUUAUCACGGGAGACACACGGCGGGUGCUAACGUCCGUCGUGAAGAGGGAAACAACCCAGACCGCCAGCUAAGGUCCCAAAGUCAUGGUUAAGUGGGAAACGAUGUGGGAAGGCACAGACAGCCAGGAUGUUGGCUUAGAAGCAGCCAUCAUUUAAAGAAAGCGUAAUAGCUCACUGGUCGAGUCGGCCUGCGCGGAAGAUGUAACGGGGCUAAACCAUGCACCGAAGCUGCGGCAGCGACACUAUGUGUUGUUGGGUAGGGGAGCGUUCUGUAAGCCUGCGAAGGUGUGCUGUGAGGCAUGCUGGAGGUAUCAGAAGUGCGAAUGCUGACAUAAGUAACGAUAAAGCGGGUGAAAAGCCCGCUCGCCGGAAGACCAAGGGUUCCUGUCCAACGUUAAUCGGGGCAGGGUGAGUCGACCCCUAAGGCGAGGCCGAAAGGCGUAGUCGAUGGGAAACAGGUUAAUAUUCCUGUACUUGGUGUUACUGCGAAGGGGGGACGGAGAAGGCUAUGUUAGCCGGGCGACGGUUGUCCCGGUUUAAGCAUGUAGGCUGGUUAUCCAGGCAAAUCCGGAUAAUCAAGGCUGAGGUGUGAUGACGAGGCACUACGGUGCUGAAGUAACAAAUGCCCUGCUUCCAGGAAAAGCCUCUAAGCAUCAGGUAACAUCAAAUCGUACCCCAAACCGACACAGGUGGUCAGGUAGAGAAUACCAAGGCGCUUGAGAGAACUCGGGUGAAGGAACUAGGCAAAAUGGUGCCGUAACUUCGGGAGAAGGCACGCUGGUGUGUAGGUGAAGUCCCUGCGGAUGGAGCUGAGACCAGUCGAAGAUACCAGCUGGCUGCAACUGUUUAUUAAAAACACAGCACUGUGCAAACACGAAAGUGGACGUAUACGGUGUGACGCCUGCCCGGUGCCGGAAGGUUAAUUGAUGGGGUUAGCGCAAGCGAAGCUCUUGAUCGAAGCCCCGGUAAACGGCGGCCGUAACUAUAACGGUCCUAAGGUAGCGAAAUUCCUUGUCGGGUAAGUUCCGACCUGCACGAAUGGCGUAAUGAUGGCCAGGCUGUCUCCACCCGAGACUCAGUGAAAUUGAACUCGCUGUGAAGAUGCAGUGUACCCGCGGCAAGACGGAAAGACCCCGUGAACCUUUACUAUAGCUUGACACUGAACAUUGAGCCUUGAUGUGUAGGAUAGGUGGGAGGCUUUGAAGUGUGGACGCCAGUCUGCAUGGAGCCGACCUUGAAAUACCACCCUUUAAUGUUUGAUGUUCUAACGUUGACCCGUAAUCCGGGUUGCGGACAGUGUCUGGUGGGUAGUUUGACUGGGGCGGUCUCCUCCUAAAGAGUAACGGAGGAGCACGAAGGUUAGCUAAUCCUGGUCGGACAUCAGGAGGUUAGUGCAAUGGCAUAAGCUAGCUUGACUGCGAGCGUGACGGCGCGAGCAGGUGCGAAAGCAGGUCAUAGUGAUCCGGUGGUUCUGAAUGGAAGGGCCAUCGCUCAACGGAUAAAA
rnacentral:rRNA from 1 species